GAUGAACGCUAGCGGCAGGCUUAACACAUGCAAGUCGAGGGGUAACAGGGAAGAGCUUGCUUUUCCGCUGACGACCGGCGCACGGGUGCGUAACGCGUAUAGAACCUACCUUUUACAGGGGAAUAGCCCAGAGAAAUUUGGAUUAAUGCCCCAUAGUAUUAUUGAAUGGCAUCAUUUAAUAAUUAAACAUUUAUGGGUAAAAGAUGGCUAUGCGUUCUAUUAGCUAGAUGGUAAGGUAACGGCUUACCAUGGCAACGAUAGAUAGGGGUCCUGAGAGGGAGAUCCCCCACACUGGUACUGAGACACGGACCAGACUCCUACGGGAGGCAGCAGUGAGGAAUAUUGGACAAUGGAGGCAACUCUGAUCCAGCCAUGCCGCGUGCAGGAAGACGGUCCUAUGGAUUGUAAACUGCUUUUAUAUAGGAAGAAACCUUUCCACGUGUGGAAAGCUGACGGUACUAUAAGAAUAAGCACCGGCUAACUCCGUGCCAGCAGCCGCGGUAAUACGGAAGGGUGCAAGCGUUAUCCGGAAUCAUUGGGUUUAAAGGGUCCGUAGGCGGACUAAUAAGUCAGGGGUGAAAUCCAACAGCUUAACUGUUGAACUGCCUUUGAUACUGUUAGUCUUGAGUUAUAUGGAAGUAGAUAGAAUAUGUAGUGUAGCGGUGAAAUGCUUAGAGAUUACAUAGAAUACCGAUUGCGAAGGCAGUCUACUAC
rnacentral:rRNA from 1 species